AUUUUGCUGCGUGAGGGGAUAGCAACGGAAAGCCCACAGCCCGAAGCAUUUUUUUCAUCGGGCGAGGACUUGCAGUGUAUAGCCCGACCCUUG
rnacentral:sRNA from 1 species